UUUUUUUACAAAAUUAUGCCCCUUUUUCGACUUAGAAAUUUUUGGUUAAGGUUUUGUAUGUAAGCUGGUAACUCAGUAACCACUUGUGGGAAUGGAUUGAAACUUCACACACUUAUUCACUGUGAUGAACUGAUCUACAUUGCACAGGUUCCAUAACUCUAUUUUGCUUUUUUACAAAAUUAUGCCCCUUUUUCGACUUAGAAAUUUUUGGUUAAGGUUUUGUAUGUAAGCUGGUAUCUCAGUACUUACUAAUGGGAAUGGAUUGAAACUUCACAUACUCAUUAACUAUCAUGAUCUGA